GGGUACUAGGUGUAGGGGGUAUCAACUCCCCCUGUGCCGUCGUAAACACAGUAAGUACCCCGCCUGGGGAGUACGGCCGCAAGGCUAAAACUCAAAGGAAUUGACGGGGGCCCGCACAAGCGGCGGAGCAUGCGGAUUAAUUCGAUGCAACGCGAAGAACCUUACCAAGGCUUGACAUGUUCUCGACCGCCACAGAGAUGUGGUUUCCCCUUUGGGGCGGGUUCACAGGUGGUGCAUGGUCGUCGUCAGCUCGUGUCGUGAGAUGUUGGGUUAAGUCCCGCAACGAGCGCAACCCUUAUUGUUAGUUGCCAGCAUUCAGAUGGGCACUCUAGCGAGACUGCCGGUGACAAACCGGAGGAAGGCGGGGACGACGUCAGAUCAUCAUGCCCCUUAUGACCUGGGCUACACACGUGCUACAAUGGAUGGUACAAAGGGCUGCAAGACCGCGAGGUCAAGCCAAUCCCAUAAAACCAUUCUCAGUUCGGAUUGUAGGCUGCAACUCGCCUACAUGAAGCCGGAAUCGCUAGUAAUCGCGGAUCAGCACGCCGCGGUGAAUACGUUCCCGGGCCUUGUACACACCGCCCGUCACACCAUGGGAGUUGGUUUUACCCGAAGGUAGUGCGCUAACCGCAAGGAGGCAGCUGACCACGGUGGGUUCAGCGACU
rnacentral:rRNA from 1 species